AAAGGCAGCUGCUGCCUGGCUCUCUUUUGGUUCCUCUCUCUGGGGGAAGCCAGACACCGUGGUGUGGGGACACUCCAGGAGCCCUGUAGGGAAGCCCAGGUCGGGAGGAGUUCAUGCCUCCACUGGCAGCCAACACCAGCUGGCCAUCUCUGUACCUGAGCUGCCUCCCCACCCCAGCCCUGCCCUGAGGAAGCAGACCACCCGUCAGUCAAACCUUCAGAUGACUGCAGCCCCAGCCAACACCUGCUGGAGCCUAAAGCACUCCUGAAUCUGACCUGCCCAUCCAAGCCCACCCCAAGUCCCUGCCCCACAGAAACUGCUAGAGAUGAUGCUUCCUCCUAGUCAAGCCACCAACUUUGGGGCCAUCGGCAGUACGAAGGCUACCAUUGGCCUUGUUCUGUGAAUAGGGAGACAGAGGUACAGAGAGGUGAAAAAACUCACCUAAGAUCACAUGGAGGCCGAAUUCAGACAGAGGCGGUUCGACCACACAGCCUAAGUCCCUCAUCACGAUGCCACACUGCCUCCCUCCAAAGGGAGGGAGCUGCUGCCCCAAACCCUUUGUGCUUGUGGACCAUGAACCCUAAAGAAGGGACUGAUUGGGUGGUGGGGAAGCCCAGAGCCCUCCCCUCCACAGCCAGAUGCAAAUCCAGGCCCUGCCACCGGGAGACAGGCUUUUCUGGCUCAUUUCCAAGUCCCCCCCACCCAGGGAUUCUGACACCUGACUCAUGAUCGCUAGCCAUCCAGCUGUCACAUGCUGGGGUCCCUGCUUCUGUGUCUGCUUUGGACUUCCAGCGAGCUCUUCAUGCUCACUACCCUGAAUUCCCCUUUCAUCUCUGUCUACAGCCUUUUGCACACAGGAGCCUCCUCUGAGACUUGAAUCUGCUCAGAGGAACGAACAUGGCAGCUGAGGACAGGCCUCUCUGAAUGAUGCACUUCUCCCUGUGGUUCCCCCGGCUUCUGAGAAGCCCCGAGUCAUCGAAAACCACUGAUCUGCGGGAUCCACUGACAGAAUGGAAUCAUGACAGAGGGAAAUUUCCAAAGUGUUUGGAGAGCACAUGCGCUGGCGUCACCCACUCCGGCUACGUGCCAUUCCUGAGAAGCCCAGUUCCUCAGGGUCAGGCUGUUGGUCUGCCCCCUGGAGACUGCUCCCAGCGAGCCUGCCAAAGACUGCCAUGGGCAGCAGAUGGAAGUCUGUGUGUGGCAACAACUGACUGAGAUUCAGGUGUGACCAAGUGUUGGAGGGUGGGUUCUAGAAGAGCCACUGGAUGAGUCUGCUCAGGGACAUCACUGCUCCUGUCAGCUUGGUCCACGUGGUCCCUUCAAAGAUUUGAGCCUGACGCACUGGGGUUCCUCGAGGCCCCGUAUCCUGUAAUAUCCUCCAUCGUGCUACUGGCUGUGACCUCUGUCUGGAUGAAGAGAUGCCAGGAUGACUCAUGGAACUGCUGCCUGCCUCAUCCCCGAACAUGUGGAUACUCUUCCUCAGACCUACACACACCACUACCUGCAGGGGUGGAGGUAGACUGAGUCCAUCUCUAGGAAGGAGAUGUUUGCAAGCAGUCCUGACAUGCAUGGAUGCUGCUUCCUCAGAGCCUGAAUCCAGGCCACCUCCCCCAGGAUCUGGACAACUGCCUGGACAGAGAUGCUGGCUUUCACUCAGGUCAUCUGGAAUCUACAUGGCCUCAGGCCUUGGUGGUCAUAGACUGACCUCACACCUUGGAGACCUUAUGAUCAAGGGGGCAAGGCUGAUUCCUGGGACUGGUCCUGUCCUUCUAUGUCCUGCCUGACCAGGCUGUCUGUGUAGUCUAGAGUGUCCAUAGCAAGAAUAGGGACAAAAAGCCCCCUCAGAAGACCAAGGCCCAACUUUGCUGUCUUGAGAGGGGAGGGGGUUUUUGGGUCCCUGUCUGGAGAGCGAUUUUCAAGUGGCUGGAUGUCUAACAUGGUCUCCUGUAGGGAACUGGCAGGUUGCCAUGGUCCUUACACAUAGGAGAAGCUACGCUUCAUCCGCCACACCUGGAGGAGCUAGGCAGAGUCUCAGCUCACCCUCUGCUGCAGAAGAUGAGUGGCCACAUCUGGGGUCUUAUUUCUCCUCUAGCUUCAUGAUGGCUGAGAAAACUGUUCCUCUGGGCUGGGACAGACCAGCCACAUGACAGGCUUUCCUUGACCACUAGGCCACCCUCCCUCCAAGUGGGUGGGGUAUAAAUCGAGGCUGGCACAGUCAAAUUUAGUUUUCCCUGAGAUCCCCCAAGGCACUAUGGUAUAGAGUGGAGGAGAGAGUCAAAAUUCAGCCCUAGGCUGGCUAACCAUUCUUUUUCUGUGAGUUGCCAUAUUAAAGUCUCUUUUAGCAGAUAUGACAUUGGGGGGUCUCCCCACACACUUACCCAAAACAUUUCCUUCUCACUAUCCCCUGUGUUACUUGUGAUGAUGUGUUUGAGGGAUUAUCUGCAUGACCACUGGCCUUGCCAGUGAACUAUCUGCUGCAGGAAGGGAGGGACGUGUCCGUAUGACUGAUGACUGUACCUCUGGUAUCUGAACAGGUCUGGCCCAUAGGAAGUGCUUAGUGAAUGUCUUUUAAAUACACGAUCGGUCUUUGCUCAUCUAAAAACCUUUGUUUCCCCUUAACUCAUGUUAUAUAUCACUAUAUACUCAGAAGCCAUGCUUGAUUAGAAGGAGAGCCAAGUCCUUGACUGGCGAAGUGGGUUAUUUUAACACAGGUUGUGUUUAACAUGAGGCUGAAUCAUAGCUCAAAAGCACCUAUGGAAACUGAUAGCAGACACUAUCCUUUUACAAAGACACCAGUGAAGGAGGUUGCGAGCCUGGUGUUGUCUUGUUGUGGAAAUCAGUAGAAAAAGCAAUUGGCUUCAAGUGACUUUCUCCUUCCAAAGUAACAGAUAAAAACAUGGAUCCAUGUAAUCCAUUAGCAGAGUAUGGGGAAAGCACAACAGAUUAGGGAGAGAGCAAAUGAACAGGAAGCCGUUAGCCUGGCAUGUUCAGAAGAAAAUUUUGAAGGAACGUGCUACUUUUUGAUGGGAGUCCCCCAAAUGAAUUUCCAGGUAGUCUGCUGGACGGCUGUGUUUUUAAAGGGGGAAUGCGUGCUUAGUCACCAGGUGAUUUCAGGCUUUGAAAGAGAUUUCAGAACAUGCCUUAACUGAAGCAGAGCAUGUAAACAAACCAGAAUAUCGGCUCCAAAGUGCAUGUCUAGAGGCACCACAGAUAUCUCACUCCCAAACUAUACCUUCCCAAAGGUAGAACUAGAGGUGUGCUGGAGCCACUGUCCUGGCUUGGAGAACUGACUUCAAUUUUCAGGAAUUUGUAUGAGCUGGUUGUUAACCAUAGUCAUCAUCAAAGAUUAAAUUAUGUAAACCUACAAUUUAAUUAAUUAUA